rnacentral:tRNA from 1 species
GCCUCCUUAGCUCAGUGGUUAGAGCACUGGUCUUGUAAACCAGGGGUCGUGAGUUCGAAUCUCAUAGGGGGCU